rnacentral:lncRNA from 1 species
GGAACACUCGCGCCCCCACCCUGAGGGUCUUCAUAGCAGUUGAAUUGCAGAGGAAGGAAGAGUUAAGAGACUGGAGCAGGAAUUUAGGUUCAAUUCCUAGCUUUGUCACAGAUUUGCCUUUGUGACCUUAGGUGGGUUACGUUGGCCUACAGAACAGCUCCGUGGCCGUGUGCCAUGUGCUUUGCUCCUUGGUGAAGUGUGACCAUGGCUGGAGUUGACUGCCAAUGCAGAAGCUGCAUCCUUGUGAUAAACUUCUGUGCACAAGCAGCAAGGAGUUUGCUGAGGGAGCUUGAAUUGUAGACAAGGAAUGACUCCCCUAAGGUGCCAGAAGGAGUCCCUGUAUAACCUGAAAAUGACCUUAGUUCUUCUGAAUUCCAGAUUUCCACAGAGGCGAGAAUGGAAAAAGAAGGCAUUUUCUGACCUGCUUUGAUCGUGACUCUUCCCACUUCCAGCCUGCAAUAGUGAAAGGAUGCAGCUGGCAAGAAGUAGAAGAAGAAAAUUCACCAGUGUGAGUGGCGAAUUUCUGAUGCCUAUUCUCAGUUAAGCCCAGCUUUUUCCAGGCUUUG